rnacentral:rRNA from 1 species
AAGUACGCGGAAUGCGCGGGGUAGCGGUGAAAUGCAUAGAUAUCGCGCAGAACUCCGAUUGCGAAGGGCAGCGUACCGGCGCCAGACUGACGCUGAGGCACGAAAGCGUGGGGAUCGAACAGGAUUAGAUACCCUGGUAGUCCACGCAGUAAACGAUGAAUGCUGGUUGUCCGGGUCGAAUGAGACCUGGGCGGCGAAGCGAAAGCGAUAAGCAUUCCACCUGGGGAGUACGCCGGCAACGGUGAAACUCAAAGGAAUUGACGGGGGCCCGCACAAGCGGAGGAACAUGUGGUUUAAUUCGAUGAUACGCGAGGAACCUUACCCGGGCUCAAACGGGAGUGGAAUGGACCAGAGACGGUUCAGCCUACGGGCCGCUUCCGAGGUGCUGCAUGGUUGUCGUCAGCUCGUGCCGUGAGGUGUCGGCUUAAGUGCCAUAACGAGCGCAACCCCCGCCGGCAGUUGCUAACGGGCAAUGCCGAGGACUCUGCCGGGACUGCCGCCGCAAGGCGUGAGGAAGGCGGGGAUGACGUCAAAUCAGCACGGCCCUUACGUCCGGGGCUACACACGUGUUACAAUGGGCGGUACAGCGGGAAGCCAGGCGGCGACGCCGAGCGGAACCCGAAAGCCGUUCUCAGUUCGGAUCGGAGUCUGCAACCCGACUCCGUGAAGCUGGAUUCAAUGGUAAUCGCGCAUCAGCCAUGGCGCGGUGAAUAC